rnacentral:tRNA from 1 species
GGACAGGUGUCUGAGUGGUUUAAGGAGCACGCUUGGAAAGCGUGUGUAGGGGAAACUCUACCGUGGGUUCGAAUCCCACCCUGUCCGCCA